rnacentral:tRNA from 1 species
GCCUGGGUGGCUCAGUCGGUUAAGCAUCUGACUUCGGCUCAGGUCAUGAUCUCAGGGUUCGUGGGUUCGAGCCCCACACGGGGCU